UACGGAGGGUGCAAGCGUUGUUCGGAUUUAUUGGGCGUAAAGGGCGUGUAGGCGGCCCGAUAAGUCCGCUGUGAAAGUCCAGGGCUCAACCCUGGAAUGCCGGUGGAUACUGUCGGGCUCGAGUCCGGAAGAGGCGAGUGGAAUUCCUGGUGUAGCGGUGAAAUGCGCAGAUAUCAGGAGGAACACCGAUGGCGAAGGCAGCUCGCUGGGACGGUACUGACGCUGAGACGCGAAAGCGUGGGGAGCAAACAGG
rnacentral:rRNA from 1 species